rnacentral:antisense_RNA from 1 species
GUGGGAGGGGGCUUGCCCCCGAUGGCGGUGAGUCAGUCACAAAUGCAUGUGCUGACACUCCCUCAUCGGGGGCAAGCCCCCUCCCAC